GUCAGGAUGGCCGAGUGGUCUAAGGCGUCAGACUCAAGUUCUGAUCUUCGUGAGAAGGCGUGGGUUCAAAUCCCACUUCUGACA
rfam:Vigna angularis cultivar Jingnong 6 scaffold16_77, whole genome shotgun sequence.